UUCAGUAAAUAAAUAUACGUCAUCAGGGACCGCACAUUUGGGGGAGAGCUUUCAGUAUAAAAUUGAAGACCUGUGCUGCAAUGAUUGGUAGAUAAAGUUUUCAAUAUUUUUUUUUUGAUUAGAUGGAUCAAAACUAAGGUUAAAAAAAAUAAUUAAAUAAUGCUGAAUGCAUUUAAUUUUUUUUAAAACAGGAUUGAAAAGUGAUGGGGUCAUUGUAGGAAUUAAGUGCGAAACUACAGUGUUUGUAAACAAAGCCAUGUGGACGGCCCAAAAAUGCCGCAUGACCCUAUGUUUUGAUGGUUGCAAAAGAUGGGGCUACAUUUGUACUUUAAUGAAUGAAAUAUGAAAGCUUCUAAUUUCUAAAGGUAAAAAAGUUAUAAAUUUAAUUGAACAUGUAGGUUAACAUUGAAGUUAAUGGGAGAUUUUUUACUGAAUUUACCCCUAUAGGGAGAAUUUGCACUCUGUCACUGUACAUUUUCAAGGCCACCUGAGAACCCCAAAGUUCUUUUCUGGUAACUAUUAAUGCAAUGGAAGCCUUUUGGAAUCAAAUAGCACUAUCUUUAUUGCAAAAGUCUAUUUUUAAUUGCGGUCGGCAUGGGUGUACUGAGUGGACUGGUGGUAGAGAGCAUGGGGUCUAUGGGAAGAAGUCAGUUGUGUGGCCUGAUGGAAAGAAAAAAAUAGAAAGGGUUCACAGGCUGUCCUACAUGCAUGCACAUCAUAUUUUGAGGGAUGAAAUUCCAAAUAAAAAUUUACAGGGGGAGCGGUUAGAUGUCUCGCACAUAUGCCAUAACCCCAUCUGUCUGAAGCCGGAACAUUUAAUUCUUGAGCCACACUCUCUCAAUAUGGAUAGAAUGGGGUGUAGAAUGAGAAAUUUAUGUACAAAGGAUCACCAUCCACAUUGUUUAUUAUAAAUUAAGGUGAAUAUUAUUUAUUUGAAAGCCUGGUAGACUUGCGGAGUCUGCCAUAUGAGUGGUCUUUGGGGUACAUAGGACUGUUUUUAGUGACCGGUAAAAGUUUAUUUUUUGUAUAAUCUUUUUCCUCCUGAUGCCGUGCAUGUAUAUCGUACAGAGAAUGCUUUCGUGCAUUUCUAUGAUUGAUACUGUUUUCUGAGUAUUUACAAUUUCUCAUUUGAUCACUAUGGUCUUCUAAUUUUUUUAGAGAUUUUGCCACUUUUGUACCUGGUUGUAUUGGACUUCCAGCCGCCUCGCACAAGAUGACGAUAGAAUUGCCUUUACCAUGAUUGACUUUGUGACAUGCCGUAUGUACCCGGCCUGUAAAGUUUCUAGCAUAGAUAUUGCAUUAGCAGUGUGUUGCAUACCAGAGACAGAUGGAGGAGGAAUAUUUGAGGCCAUACAGAUUUUACGUCUUGGCUGCCUGUUUUGGACGCAGAAGCCGCCCUGAUGUUGAGUGCAUAGGAAUUUCAGCAGAGUGUUUGAUAUUUACAGGUUUUGUCACAAGAUCAAAGUCAUCCUUGGAUAGUCUUUCAAAUUUAACCACAGGGAAUACAGGUAUUUUAACAUUUUCCAAUUUAAGUCCUCUGUUAUGUGGAAUAUUUCCCUUCUUAAAUCUGUGUUUUUUUAAGUGCACAGCAUAACGUCCCAUUUUUUAGUAUUUUUUUUGAUGAAAUAAUUAUUCUUAUAACAAUAUUUGUCACUCUCUGAUUUCAUUAAACAAAAGUAAGAAAAAGGAAAGUGCAGAAACAGGACAAAUUUUAUUGCUAAGAUAUCAUUUUUAUGGUUGACAGUUGAAGAAAAGUCUGUUUUUUCUCUGACUCUACCAGUAUGAUAAGACAUUCUCAUCUUUGAUAGUAAAUGACCCUAUAGUUAUCUGUGUGCACUUAAAAUGAUCUAUACAAGAUAUUAAAACACAGAUUUAGUGUAGGGAAAUAUUAUUGUUGAUUUUUUUUUGUAUGACACUCAUUUAAAAGCCUUUGAAACAACUUUUUGUGGUAU